CCUACGGGAGGCAGCAGUGAGGAAUAUUGGUCAAUGGGCGCGAGCCUGAACCAGCCAAGUAGCGUGAAGGAUGACUGCCCUACGGGUUGUAAACUUCUUUUAUAAAGGAAUAAAGUGAGACACGUGUGCCUUUUUGUAUGUACUUUAUGAAUAAGGAUCGGCUAACUCCGUGCCAGCAGCCGCGGUAAUACGGAGGAUCCGAGCGUUAUCCGGAUUUCUUGGGUUUAAAGGGAGCGUAGAUGGGUUGUUAAGUCAGUUGUGAAAGGUUGCGGCUCAACCGUAAAAUUGCAAUUGAUACUGGCAGUCUUGAGUACAGUUGAGGUAGGCGGAAUGCAUGGUGUAGCGGUGAAAUGCUUAGAGAUCACGAAGAACUCCGAUUGCGAAGGCAGCUUACUAAUCUGCCACUGACAUUGAGGCUCGAAAGUGUGGGUAUCAAACAGGAUUAGAUACCCCUGUAGUC
rnacentral:rRNA from 1 species